rnacentral:rRNA from 1 species
AUGCAUGUMUAAGUACAAGCCGCCUGUGCGGCGAGACUGCGGACGGCUCAUUAAAUCGGUUAUGACUCCACUGGGGCCAGACUCUCCACGUGGAUAACGUGCGGUAACUCCGGUGCUAAUACAUGCAACAAGGCUCCGACCGCGGCUUCGGCCGCGGGAAGGGCGCACUUAUUAGGCGAAAACCGACCGGCCUCGGCCGUUGGUGGACGACACCCGAGUAAUUGCCGCCGAUCGCACGGCCUCGAGCCGGCGACGCCGCCACCGAGUUUCUGAUCUAUCAUGCUGUCGACGGUUGGUGCUAUGCCAACCGUGGCGUUAACGGAUAACAGAGAAUCUGGGUUCGAUUCUGGAGAGGCCGCAUGAGAAACGGCGACCACU